GAUCCUGCUCAGGAUGAACGCUAGCGACAGGCUUAACACAUGCAAGUCGAGGGGCAGCACAGGGUAGCAAUACUUGGGUGGCGACCGGCGCACGGGUGAGUAACGCGUAUGCAACUUACCUAUCAGAGGGGGAUAGCCCGGCGAAAGUCGGAUUAAUACCCCAUGAAACAGGGGUCCCGCAUGGGAAUAUUUGUUAAAGAUUCAUCGCUGAUAGAUAGGCAUGCGUUCCAUUAGGCAG
rnacentral:rRNA from 1 species